GUUGGGUUAUUUUAGUAUAUUGAUAGGUUACGUUCGAUUUUUUUGUUUCACUUUAAUUAGACAACAAAAUAGGGAUUAAAAAAAAAAGGGGGGAUAUAUAUAUAUAUACCAAUGCACACAGCGACGUUGCCAGAUCAUCAAUUGAGCCUAGCAAAAAAAAAGUAGGUGGAUGGGUGAGGUAGGGAAUUGUCUAACGCCUACAAUCAGCUGCAAAAUAGACUACACAAAUUUUGUUGUUUGCAGCUAAAAUUAUAACUGGGACACAAAAAUAAUAGUGGGAACUCGUUUCUGUGUGUGUGCUACAAAUAUAACUUUCUGGUACGUUAAUUGGCUGUAGUUGUGUUUUUGUUGGUAUGUUUGCAGAUGAAGAAACUGAAGUUAAAAUUUACCUCGACUUGUUGUAACCGUAUGGGGGAUAACCACCGUUAUUAUUGUUACUACCCGGAUUAUUGUUGCCGUACAUAUCCUGAGAGUGUGUGUGCACGAGUAUUUUUUGCAAAAUACUCUCAGUGCGUCGUUCUUUUGUACAAGACUUGAAGAUUUUUUCUCGUUCUCUCUCUUUCGCACGUAUGUCUCGAUCUACGAGAUCAGAGAGUUUCGAAUUCUACUCUCUCUCCCUGUGUCUUAGUCGAUUGGCGCUCAGCGCUCUCAGCUGCCAGCUGCUGUUCUAGAUUAUUCUCUUUUUGUGGUUUAUGCUCAAAUUGUCUCGUCUGCUUUGGGUGUGGUGUUAGUGAGCGAGCGGGUGCUGUAUGAAACUGUGUGUGGGAGUGUGUCUGUGUGUGUGUGUGUCUAUGAGUGUAUUUUAUUGCCUGGCGAGAGCUUUUUCAGGCUCUCGUCGUAGACUGGAACGCAAACAGUUGCGUUUAAAGCCUUUUCGUUUCCUUCUCUUUCUUUCUUUUAUCAGUUAGUAUCAAAUAUAUUGGCGGGCACUUUGUCUCUUCUUCUUUGUAGACUGUUUUAUAUUACUCCCUCUCUUUCUUCUUUGUAGCUGUUGUUGGCGCGCUCAGCUGUGUAGCGGUUGUUAC